ACAGCAGUAGCCACGGGAAUACGAAGGGGGCUAGCGUUGCUCGGAAUUACUGGGCGUAAAGGGAGCGUAGGCGGAUCGUUAAGUUGGGGGUGAAAGCCCGGGGCUCAACCUCGGAACUGCCUUCAAUACUGGCGAUCUUGAGUAUGAGAGAGGUGUGUGGAACUCCGAGUGUAGAGGUGAAAUUCGUAGAUAUUCGGAAGAACACCAGUGGCGAAGGCGACACACUGGCUCAUUACUGACGCUGAGGCUCGAAAGCGUGGGGAGCAAACAGGAUUAGAUACCCGAGUAGUCCCUGUCUCUUAUAC
rnacentral:rRNA from 1 species